AGUUAAAUAAUUGCGUAAGACCCACGUGGGGGUAGGAUUUUUUUAGCCACGCAAACGGGAAAAAUCGGAAACCUGGGAAGAUGCACUCGGCUUCUGCAAGAUUUUUACUUGACCGAAUGAAAUGGAAUAGCUAUAGUCAGUGUACAUAUUUGUAGCUUCUCUUUAUAGCUAAGUUGUUUUUAACAUAAGAAAUACUGUUCUCCAUGCCACCACCCCGACGUUGCUUCUUGGAGAGGGGAAAUAAAGGAUGAUGAGUUGUGACAAAGGAUUAAAGUACAACAUCACAUUUACUUUUCAGUUGUCUGGGCUUAUUAGGAUCAAUUUUCUAUUCUCAUUUUGGAAGGUAAUUUGAUGAGGAAUUUGGACAGAAUGGAUGUAAAGGAAGGGUGAUUCUGACAAGUUUGAAUUUCAUCAUCAUUUGCUUUUGUUUAACAUCUAUCUUUUGGUGAUGGUUGGGAGGGGUGUGUGAGGAUAAAAUGUUAAAAAGGAAAGAGUAGCACUACGCAUUGUAGAGCCCUUAAAAAAAGACACUCGCUGGAUUUUUUAAAAAUAUUUUGCUUAAUGUCCACAUUAUCUGAUUCUACAUGAGACACAAAUGACUAAAAUUCCAUCUCAUUCCAGGAAGCCCAUCUCCUCUAGUCAUAUUUAAUCAUUGCAUUUGUGACACUCCCAUUUAUUGUACUGAGUCUUACAUGAAAUCUCAGCUAAGAGCAUGGAUUUAAAAAAAUAAUUUCUUUUAAUAAGUCCAAUUUUCU